rnacentral:rRNA from 1 species
UACGGGGGGGGUAAGCGUUGUUCGGAAUUACUGGGCGUAAAGGGCUCGUAGGCGGCCAACUAAGUCGGACGUGAAAUCCCUCAGCUUAACUGGGGAACUGCGUCCGAUACUGGAUGGCUUGGAUUUGGGAGAGGGAUGCGGAAUUCCAGGUGUAGCGGUGAAAUGCGUAGAUAUCGGGAGGAACACCUAUGGCGAAGGCAGCUCGCUGGGACGUUACUGACGCUGAGACGCGAAAGCGUGGGGAGCAAACAGG